GAUCUCUCAGCUUUUGAGUCCCAGAUGAAGUACUUUCAGAUCCCUUAUCUUGACGGAAACUGGGAAGCUUCAAUGGAUGCCUUACUCAGCGGGGAUGCUGCUCAGGAUGGUGGAAACCCAAUGGACCUUUGGAGCUUUGAUGAUCUGCCUACUGUGGUGGGGGGAGUUUUCUGAGCAAACUUUUCCCUUGCUAGCUGGUCUUCUGUAAAUAAAGCUACAUGUUAGUAAAUUUCACCCUACCAUUAACUUAUUAAUGAUUUUGUAUCUCUCUGAUUCCUUGCUUUAUUUGGAUGCUUCUUUGCUUCUUAAAAAUAGGUUUUCUUUCUCAUCUUUUCUGUUUUCAGGAAUGGUUGUUGCCAG
rnacentral:lncRNA from 1 species